rnacentral:rRNA from 1 species
GACUUCUGGUUUAAUGCACCUGGCCCGCGGCCCACAAGGCUGUGAGUGCCGGCGCGCGUUUACCAUCCUUCCAGCAACGGCUACCCUUAACUGGGCAUCUUUUACUUUGAAAAAAUUAGAGUGUUUAAAGCAGGCGUUUGCUCUGAAUACAUUAGCAUGGAAUCCUCCUCUAGGACUUCGGUUCUAUUUUGUUGGUUUCUAUAACUGAAGUAAUGAUUGAGGGGGAUAGUUGGGGGUGCUAGUAUUGGAAAUUCUUGGAUUCGGUCAAGACUAACUUAUGCGAAAGCAUU